ensembl:miRNA
GGAGGCUGACCCUCUGGCUGGCAAAUCUCGCUGGGGCCUCCAAAUGUUAUACCUGAAAUGAGUGGAAUAGAGAAACCCCAGCACACUGAGUCCAAAUUAAG